ensembl:lncRNA
AUAACACGAGAUAAUGCUGACUUAAAGUAUGUUCAUUGACAAAUUGGUUAAAAUUGCAAGGGUUUUGUCAGUUUGUGUUGACUAGUUGGUUGGCAUUAGCUACUAGUUAGCUGGUUAGCGUUACUUUGCUCGCUGCCAAAUUAGUCCGCCAACUGAUGAAAUUGCCACGGCCUAUUUUUAGCAUUAGGCCUACGUAGAAGUUAGCAUGUGGUAACCACGGGAAUAUUUCACUCCUCCAUUCAUGUCUGAAUUAUGGAUAAGUUACAAAUCCGAUGUCAAUAGCAUUUAAAGUAGUUUGUCUUUUGAGAAACAUAAUUAACUAUGUUGGUAAUAUGGAACAGCGGUAAUCUACUUCUCUCUCUAUACAACAGAGCAUCCUCCUUAUCUGCAUUGUGUUUGACCAUAACGGCUGGUGACUCUAAAGUGCAAGUUCACACAUCAAUUCAGAUAUUGCUCCUGCCAGUGUUGGUGACUCCAUGGAUAUUUGACAGUGUCCUGCUGUCCAGCAUCUCUCCUCCUCUAUCCCAUUGGCUCUCUGUCUCUCCUAUACCUUGUAUCCACUCUGUCUACAAUUUGAUAACUCUAGCUUUCCUGUCAAAUCUACCGCUCUGUCUGAUUUUGGAAACUCUAUCUUUGUAUCCCUCUUCUAUCCCACUCUAUCUGUAUACAGAAGCCUGAAAACCCUGAUAUUCUGAAACCUGAACCCUGAACCCUGAAACCUGAACCUAAGGUUAUUGCAACCUGUCUGAACAGAACUCUGAGAGUAUCUCCACUCUCCCGCUCUCUGUCUCUCCUCUGAACACUCACUCACCCGGGUUAUUGGUACCUGAUCUACCUUUUUGAAUGAUCUGAGAGAUUCUCUUCUCUCACUCUCACCUCUCUCCUAUCAACUCCUAUAUUUAUACAAUACUAUUACUGUUUUUACUAAUUUGACAAAACAUUUGAAAUUUACUAUUAAUGAGAUUAACAAAAUUUGCCUGAACAAAGAAUUGAAAAGUUAAUUCAGAAGCUAAAAAAACAUAAAAUACAAAUCUUUUUGUUAUAAUUGAAAAAACUACACCAUGAUCCAAAGAAUUGUAUUGUAAAAAAGUACUCUUUAUAAUUGAAUCAGGUAGAUUUCCUGAUACACUAUUUGCAAAAGUGCAUUGAAUUAACAUAAUUAAAGACAACUGCACUCUGAUAUAUAAUAAAAUACAUAACUAUUACAAAUCCAUAUUAGAGAAGUGUAUUUGCUCCUGAUCGCUGUUGCUGUGCACCUGUUGGUUUGUACUCAAAGGUUUGUUUUGUGAGCAAACACUGUUGUUAACUUGAUUAGUCUACGUACAAGGAGAAAUAAUUCCGCUACAUGCAUUGUAUCAAUUAUACCUAAUUAAUGAAUACAUAAUUUUUUUCUUAUAAACUUACAUUGUGCAUAUCAGUGUUUUGUUGUUUAUACUGAAAUAAAACACAGACGUCAACCAGGAGGAAGUGGAUUCAUCAGGAGUGGCUGUUUCCUGCUGAUCCAACGUUCUUCAGAACCAUCCAUCUGUCAUCACACUCCCACAACAACUGCUCCCGAAUAUAAACAAUAGCCGAAUAAAGUAUUAAGAUAAUUUCUACCAGUAAAUUUAGCCAUCUGAAAUCUGAAGGGCCCUUUCAGUCAGCUGCUUUCACUCAACUGCUUCCAAGUUGUGUGUUUGUGGUAGACUUCAGUUUUUACAUUGAUUAUAUAUUUCCACAGAUAAGUCAAGGUCUCAGUAAGCAAUAUCUAUUACAUAUUAAAUACCAUCGGUCACUUUAGUACAUGGUACUUUAUUUACGCAGACAGACAUACUAAGACCUGAUUGCAGUAUUCAAAUCUAGAAGUGCUUUGUCUAGACCCUCAUAUAUUAGAAUACGUCAGCUGGAUAAUUUCAUUGUGUUUUUUAUAUUAAAACUAUAAAAUAAUC